AUAUCACCUCUUUCAAGUCUUUCACUCAUACGUUACUGUCUCCUUCAUGCCUUCCUUUUUUCCCUACUUAAAAUUAUAUCUCCUCCUCGUGUUCUUUAUUUGCUUUGUUUUUUUGUUUUUGGGAAAAAGACCCUGAUAAAACCACCAGAGAGCAUAAGAACUCACUCAUACCACAAGAACAGCAGCAUGGGGGUAACUGACCCCAUGAUUAAAUUAACCCCCACCAGGUCCCUCCCAUGACACAUGGGGAUUACAGGAACUACAAUUCAAGCUUUAGAUUUAGUGGGGGACUCAGUGAAACCACAUCACCUCUUUCAAGCCUUUCACUCAUAUGCU
rnacentral:lncRNA from 1 species